rnacentral:rRNA from 1 species
CUCGUAGUGACCUGCGGAGGGAUCAUUACAGAGACUCUGCCCUUUGGGUAGACCUCCCACCCUGUGUCGUUAUACCUUCGUUGCUUUGGCGGGCCGCGGGGCCCCGGCCCCGCCCCUGGCUCCGGCUAGGGCGCGCCCGCCAGAGGACCUCAAAACCUGAAUGUUAGUGUCGUCUGAGUACUAUAUAAUAGUUAAAACUUUCAACAACGGAUCUCUUGGUUCUGGCAUCGAUGAAGAACGCAGCGAAAUGCGAUAAGUAAUGUGAAUUGCAGAAUUCAGUGAAUCAUCGAAUCUUUGAACGCACAUUGCGCCCCUUGGUAUUCCGGGGGGCAUGCCUGUUCGAGCGUCAUUACAACCCUCAAGCUCUGCUUGGUCUUGGGCGUCACCGGUCCCGGUGUGCCUUAAAAUCAGUGGCGGCGCCAUCUGGCUCUAAGCGUAGUACAUACUCUCGCUACAGACGUCCGGUGGAUGCUGGCCAGCAACCCCCAACUUAUCAAGGUUGACCUCGGAUCAGGUAGGGAUACCCGCUGAACUUAAGCAUAUCAAA